rnacentral:rRNA from 1 species
UACGGGGGGGGCAAGCGUUGUUCGGAAUUACUGGGCGUAAAGGGCUCGUAGGCGGCCAACUAAGUCAGACGUGAAAUCCCUCGGCUUAACCGGGGAACUGCGUCUGAUACUGGAUGGCUUGAGUUUGGGAGAGGGAUGCGGAAUUCCAGGUGUAGCGGUGAAAUUCGUAGAUAUCGGGAGGAACACCGGUGGCGAAGGCGGCGACCUGGGUCGAGACUGACGCUGAGGCGCGAAAGCGUGGGGAGCAAACAGG